rnacentral:misc_RNA from 1 species
GCAGCAGCAGCAGCAGCUUCUGCAUAGGAAAGACAAGGAGAAUUGUUCACAAAUAAUGAAACCGAACAUUUAGUCAAGAAGAAAUGGGUUUAGUGAGAAAAAUACACUAUACAAAAGCUGACUCAACAAGCAAAACCAGUACAGUAGGACAAACUCACACACAGCAGAGGCAAUGAUAUAUAUAUAUAGUACUGGCUGGAUCAAAUAGAUUGUUUUCUUUUUACAUAAGAAAUAAUUUAUUUUUCCAGUUAUUAUUUUAUUUUUAAUUGACCAUUCUUAUUAAAUUCCUUGAUUUAAAUAGUUUAUUAUUUUU